rnacentral:rRNA from 1 species
GACGAACGCUGGCGGCGUGCUUAACACAUGCAAGUCGAACGGUAAGGCCCUUCGGGGUACACGAGUGGCGAACGGGUGAGUAACACGUGGGUGAUCUGCCCUGCACUUCGGGAUAAGCCUGGGAAACUGGGUCUAAUACCGGAUAGGACUCCGGACUGCAUGGUCUGGGGUGGAAAGCUUUUGCGGUGUGGGUUGGGCCCGCGGCCUAUGAGCUUGUCGGUGGGGUGAUGGCCUACCAAGGCGACGACGGGUAGCCGGCCUGAGAGGGUGACCGGCCACACUGGGACUGAGAUACGGCCCAGACUCCUACGGGAGGCAGCAGUGGGGAAUAUUGCACAAUGGGCGCAAGCCUGAUGCAGCGACGCCGCGUGAGGGAUGACGGCCUUCGGGUUGUAAACCUCUUUCAGCAUCGACGAAGCGAAAGUGACGGUAGGUGCAGAAGAAGGACCGGCCAACUACGUGCCAGCCGCCGCAGUAA